rnacentral:rRNA from 1 species
GACGUAGGGUCCAAGCGUUGUCCGGAUUUACUGGGCGUAAAGAGCGCGUAGGCGGUCCGUUAAGUGUAGAGUGAAAGCUCCGGGCUCAACCCGGAAAUUGCUCUGCAUACUGGCGGACUUGAGGAUGGAAGAGGUUUGUGGAAUUCCUGGUGUAGCGGUGAAAUGCGUAGAUAUCAGGAGGAACACCAGUGGCGAAGGCGCCGCUCUGGGCCGAGACUGACGCUGAGGAGCGAAAGCGUGGGGAGCGAACAGG